AAGAGCCGUGUGAGGUGAGAGUCUCAUGCACAGCCUUUCCCGAUUUUCGGGAGUUCCGUGGGAAGGUAGGGGUGCAAUUCCCUUGUCUGACCCGAU
rnacentral:ncRNA from 1 species